GACGAACCGAGCGAACGUUGUUCGGAAUCACUGGGCUUAAAGGGCGCGUAGGCGGGUGCUCAAGUCUGUGGUGAAAUCCCUCGGCUUAACCGGGGAACUGCGUCUGAUACUGGAUGGCUGGAGAUUGGGAGAGGGAUGCGGAAUUCCAGGUGUAGCGGUGAAAUGCGUAGAUAUCUGGAGGAACACCGGUGGCGAAGGCGGCAUCCUGGACCAACACUGACGCUGAGGAGCGAAAGCCAGGGGAGCAAACGGG
rnacentral:rRNA from 1 species